AGUGAACGCAGGCGGUAGGCCUAACACAUGCAAGUCGAACGGCAGCACAGGAGAGCUUGCCCUCUGGGUGGCGAGUGGCGGACGGGUGAGGAAUACAUCGGAAUCUACUUUUUCGUGGGGGAUAACGUAGGGAAACUUACGCUAAUACCGCAUACGACCUACGGGUGAAAGCAGGGGAUCUUCGGACCUUGCGCGAUUGAAUGAGCCGAUGUCGGAUUAGCUAGUUGGCGGGGUAAAGGCCCACCAAGGCGACGAUCCGUAGCUGGUCUGAGAGGAUGAUCAGCCACACUGGAACUGAGACACGGUCCAGACUCCUACGGGAGGCAGCAGUGGGGAAUAUUGGACAAUGGGCGCAAGCCUGAUCCAGCCAUGCCGCGUGGGUGAAGAAGGCCUUCGGGUUGUAAAGCCCUUUUGUUGGGAAAGAAAUCCAGCUGGUUAAUACCCGGUUGGGAUGACGGUACCCAAAGAAUAAGCACCGGCUAACUUCGUGCCAGCCGCCGCCGUAA
rnacentral:rRNA from 1 species